CCCCGCCGAGUGCGUCCGUCUGUACGUGUGGCUGCCCGGCUCCUGGCUUUGUGUCCGGCGCUUGCACGUGUGCUGUGCGGCAAUGUUCCCUCCACGGCGACGAUUCUGCCCUCUCUUCGACAUCAUGUUUACUCAGUGACGUGCGGAAAUCUGUCACAGUCUCUUACAAGAGUAACCCAGUAUCCACAACAACACAACGCUCUACACGUCCGUUACCUCGGCUAAUAAAUACCGCACUCUUCCAUCUCCGCUCCUUCAGUGCCUUUAAAAGAAACAGCUCUGUAUGUUUUCUCCGGCAUAAUCUGGUUUUCUACGACUGAGUGAAUAAAUAUACUUGAACUGAUAUUUAAUAAUCCUAACCCGUGGCAUAAUAAGGAACAAGAGAUAAACACCUUGCACAGAACAAAAUUCGUCAGUGCUCCACAGACGAGCAUUCAUUUCACCACCACCACUAAAAUCGCCACAAAUUCGGAAUACUUCGAUUUCUCCCCAAUCGAGAACAGCAUCUGUUUUUACGAGAGACGACGUUAGUUGAAUUUCACAUGCAGUUACGUACGAAGCAGCUGACGAAUUCAUUCGUUUGCGCAAGUGUGACGUAUUACGGUUACAGCUUAAUGUGAAGACGGUCGGUCACCUCAGGAACGACUGGCCAAUCCUAGAACACGGUGGAGUGUAGAGAUACGUGUGGGAGUAGGUCCCGACGGUGAGGUUUCGUUUCUUCGGCAAAGAUCAGAAUUUCCGCCACUCCUCGCACGAGCCACAGGGUCCCAAAGAAAUAAAGGCUGCUCGCAAAGGUGUUUCGGAUUAGUGUCAGUGCCAGAGAGGUGUGGCGUGUGAUUGAGUCUGCUAAACACAGCUACACAAGAUCAUCCGUCGGCCGUCGCCUCUUCUUUCGCGUCACCUGCUUUGGACAGCACCGAAGACGAAGAAGAGACCUCAGUGUGAUUCGUCCUGCUGCCGAGGAUCUGCAGUUGGAAGUCUCUUGGUUCGAAUCUGGCCGCUGGCGCCGCUCGGAAAGUCCCUGCAGCCGCGAAGAGUCGUGUCGGCCAGCCCCGAGGAACCUGACUCCACUGCUUGCUGAUGAAGGGAUGAGGCGGCGGCGGCAGAGCGUCUCGAAGCCAGAGGACGCCGCCGACGCGCCGCACCUGUGACGGCGGCUGCCGGGCCCCAUGGAGCCCCACUUCGGU